UAUCAGUAACAGCAGCCAUGGUGAUCCCGGGCGGCCGUAAUCAAGUUAUAUUUACGAAGAGUGGAAGGUGUCUCACCAGGAUGGACUGGUAACCAUGGAGAAGCUAAGACUACAAGAGUCACCCACUGUUUUUUAGCAAACUGAUCGGAAGCUUACCAUGAACCAAGGCGUAACCGGUGGGAACGAGGCAAGGGAGUUACGUCCUUGUGGAACCUACCAGUACAAGUUAAAAAUCGGGGGCAAUGCUCGGGAUCUUCAAGACAUCCUGAC